rnacentral:lncRNA from 1 species
CCAUAGUGAUAGAAUCAAAUGGGUAAGGGCCACGUGGCCCAUAAGGGAUCUGAGCGAACGGAAUGGUUUCUCUGACCCAAACUCGAUUCUGAUAAUCUUGCAACAUCCAAAUGUCCAUUUUGUUUGUUGGGUUCAUGGCCCAGGGAUCGUAACAAGCUACACCUAAUAAGCCAUUGAUUUUUAAGAACUGUGCAUUCGGUAUGGAUGUUAAUAUAGUAUCGGGAGCCGCCUCUGGAUGCAUGUUAACAAUGGAAAACGUUUCAGUUGUUAAAUCAAAUGCCAAAAUUUGAAGUGGAUUUCGAAGCAACAGAUAUGUAUGGUGCUAUUGACACAAACACUAUACGAAACAACGCCAGGCACUGAUACCAAGAGGAAGAUCGACCUCGAUCUUUCUCCAUGAGUAAUUUGAGAAGGAGAAAAUCAUAAUCUCAAUUGUA